ensembl:lncRNA
UUUGUACUCUCAAUGGUAUUUAAUACAUUAGGGUUGAUUCACUGACAUCGGUCCUCAAGCAACACAACCUGGGAUUUCAUAUCAUUGUUGUACCAUCCGCCUUCUACCUUGCCCGGCUUUUUAUGGAUACUCGUGUACCGAUCAUACAAUCUCAUGACGAAAUUAUUCUUCGAAUUCCAUUUUAUAUGUGAGGAAAGUACUCCUUGAAAGGCUAGGAGAUUGAUGGAGAUAUUGAUUAGAAGGAACGGGUAGGAUUCAAACCCAUGGCUAGCAUGAGGGAUGUUAAGAGUUGAGUGUUAGGAGACUGGUUCCAGGACUCUGCUCAGACAUUCCCAUGUAAGGAUGCUAAAGCACUUCUUUAAAAUGGACAAUCUGCAUGUAGCCUCCCAGAAACUCUGCCAUCGCUAGCUUACUUAUAACUCGGACAAUGUAAGUGAUGCGUCAAUACUGUUACACUGUAUCGAUUAGGGACCAAUGACAAGGAAAACUCUAUUUGGCGUAGUAACAGUUAAGUAUCUUUUCUCCACAGGAGCCUCUUCUGCAGAGCAGGGAGUGGUAACUGUAACUGUUUCACUGAACAGUUGUGAGAGUGGUGUGAAUAACACAUGUAAAUGCUGGUGCUUUGCAUAUAAGAAGCAUGUGGGAAGGUAUCUGUUAUACACUCGCCCCUCUCCCAUUGCAGCCUUCUCUUCCACUAAGCCUCAUUGCCCACCAAAUCACUUUAUUUUUGUCUUAGAGCAGAGGGUAAAGUGCUUGCUGUGGAAGCGCCAGGAUCUGAGUUCAAAUUCCCAGAAUCCGUGUGAGGCCAGAUGUGAUCAUGCACAUCUGUAAUCCCAGGGCUCCUGUGGCAAGGAUAGGAAAUGGAGUCCAGAGAGUCCUGAGAAGCUCGUUGUCCAGCAAGCCCAGUGGCAAACGAGGCAGGAGGUGAUGGUCAACACUGAGUUUGUCCUGUUACUGCCAUACACCAUGGCACGCAUGUGCCCACACUCAAAACACAGAGACACACAAUACAAAAACCACAGGCAAAUGGAUCACUCACACUCUCUGAAUCACCUUCACCGCUUGUCCAGCUGUGGAAGUUAUUCUUGCUGUCUAGUUCCGAGCUCCGUCCUUCAGUGACCUCUCUAGGCCUUGGUUACAGGGGGUGAUCUCAAACCCCUGUGCACCAGGAUCCUUUGCUCUCCUUUCGGAACUCUGGACAUGUGAACUUUGUUCUUAUUAUAAUGCCUAACAUUGUAUCUUCUCUCAGCUCAUCCGUGGCUUAGGCUCCCUGUAUUUAUCCUUAUUUUAUCCCUUAUGUGCUUUCGUGUGUGUGUGUGUGUGUGUGUGUGUGUGUGUGUGUGUGUGUGUAUACACAUGAGCACACGCAUGCAUGCUGCUAGAUGCAGGUGUGAGGAACCAAUCUGGGCCCUCUAAAAGAGCUGCAUGUACUCUUAACAGCUAAACUACCUCUCUGGUCUCCACUACAGUAUUUUGCACUCUAUGUUGGAUACAUGGGAUGGUCAUGUGAUUGUUACUAAUGUAUAUAAACAUAUUAAUAACUCUGGAGUAGAAAAAGAAACGAG